rnacentral:rRNA from 1 species
UUAUAAGAGACAGCAGUCGCCACGGUAAUACGGAGGGUGCAAGCGUUAAUCGGAAUUACUGGGCGUAAAGCGCACGCAGGCGGUCUGUCAAGUCGGAUGUGAAAUCCCUGAGCUUAACUUAGGAAUUGCAUUCGAUACUGGGAAGCUAGAGUAUGGGAGAGGAUGGUAGAAUUCCAGGUGUAGCGGUGAAAUGCGUAGAGAUCUGGAGGAAUACCGAUGGCGAAGGCAGCCAUCUGGCCUAAUACUGACGCUGAGGUACGAAAGCAUGGGGAGCAAACAGGAUUAGAGACCCCGGUAGUCCCUGUCUCUUAUAC